ensembl:lincRNA
AUGGCCGAGCAGCCUCAGCCACAGCAGAUGAAAACUUCCUUCCUUUUCAUCCAGCUGCAGCCCCCACCAACCCGAGCUACCCAAACUCUCCCCGCCCCUUCUCCAGCAACCGCAGUCGCAACAGCAGCCCCAGGGGGCCUGGAGGAGGGACACAUUUUCCCAAGUCCCAGAGCAAGCUUCUUCUCUGCUCCCUGGAACUUCAGAUGUACGCAGGGCUUAGCUCCAUCGCCUUCGAGUCUCCUGCCCGGGGAAGGCCCUGGAACACUGAGACCAGCUGCUUUCGAUUGCUACUCACUGAAGGAAAAGAAGGAAGAAACAGAGAAAUCUCAGAAUCUGCAUGUAAAGAGGAGUGGGGUUUGUGGAUCCCCACAUAGUAGGCGUUGCCUGGUCCCUGCUUCUAGGAAACUUGGCCUACCACAACAACUGCCAUGUAGGCUUGCUAGCCCAGCUCCUACACUGAAUGAUGGAAACAGCAGUCCUUCCAUAGGCUGGAAGCACCGGCCAGUCAUUUCUGCCCACGAGGACCUGUGGGAUAUGGACCCAGAAGCCAGGAAUGCCAUUGAAUUCUCAGUUCCACAAAGCACCCUGUCCUAUGCAGCUGACAGGGGCAAAAGGGCACUCCUGAGGAGAGGGACUGUAAACCAAGAGGUACUCCCAAAGAACUGUGAAGAAGACAUAGGUACCACAGUGCUGGCAACAAGGGCACAGCUCUUCAGAUAUUGCCCCACCAUUCAGAUCAGCCAGAGUUGCCUGGCCCCACCUGCUGCUGUGCCUCUCAAGAAAUUGGGGUUGGAAUUUCUAGUUUCAGAUAUGAGAAUUAAGGUGUGG